rnacentral:tRNA from 1 species
GCUCCUGUAGCUCAAUGGUUAGAGCAGGGAACUCAUAAUUCCUUGGUUAUCGGUUCGAGUCCGGUCGGGAGCACCA